GACGAGGAGCCCGGGCCCGGAGCGGGCGCCCGUGCCGCCGCGCAGACGCAGAGACCUCCUGCCACGAGCGGAGAAGGAAAUCUGAGCGCCCGUCCUACAGAGCAGGACCCCGGCGGCAGCGGGGGGCUCCACGUGGUGCCCCUGGGGCGCGUGUGACCCCCCCCCCCACCACCCCACUCUCCCCGGCGAGGCAAAAGCGCCGCCCCCACGGUCGCCCCCUGCAAAGCCGGAGCCGCCGGAGGACGUGGCAACAGCGGCGGCGGCCUCCAGGCACCAGGUCACGAAAAGCCCGAGAAAAA